CUGAACGGGUUAUGGCUCAUCUUCACCCACCACUGGUGUCAGCUAUUCCAAAUUACACAAGACGCCUUAACAAUGUGAACGUGCCCAUCUCUGUCCAUUGGGAAUAAUCUACUCGAAACAGCUUCGCUGUGUCAGCGCACAUUUCAGUGACUCACACUGUCCGGGAAGCAGUUUUUGAAAUGACAACGCUUCAAAAGGAAGUAGCUCACCAAUAUCCUUUGAUAACAUCUUCCAAUCCUACAGCUGCUACCACCCGGAAGGACAAAGGCAAUAGAUGCAUGGAAACACGAUCACCUGCAACUUCCCUUCCAAGUCACACACCUUCCUGACUGGUCAAUGUCCUGGAACACUGUUCCUGACAAUACCGUGUCUGCCUCCAUCACAUGGAGUCUGGUUCAAGAACACAGCUCAACUCCACCUUCUCCAAGAUAAUUCAGGACGGGCAAUAAGCCACUGAGUCCACGUCCCAUGAAGUUCAGAUGCUUCUCAAUUGCCCUCAGGAUAAAAGGCAAAACAGAAGUGGAAAGAUCUCAUGCUGCUGCAUCCUAGACUUCAUCUUCUCCAUCUCCAGCUUCCACUUUCCCCUCAACGACAAGUUGUUGUAGAUCAGCUGUAGAGAAGUCUUCACAGUGGGACUCCAGCAGUUAUUCAACGCCCUCACUCUCCUCUUCUUCAAAUCCAGCUUGCUUUGCAAGAUCAACACAAUGUUUUUUGAUUCUUGGGAGCUCCUCUGACAUAUCAAAGCUUUUUAAAUCUUGAAAAAAUUCUGGGAGAAGCUUCCAUCAAACUUCAUGCAAGUAAUCCUUACUAACAUCAUCCCAGGGCUCCACGAUAAUGUCUAUUGCAUUCAUGAUGUUAAAUCUCUUUCAAAAUUGAAGAAUGUUGUCCUUAUUCUCCUCAGUGGCUGCAAUCAUCCUCUUUAAUGUAAGCCUUAAAUAAUAAGCUUUAACAGCUGCUAUUGCACCCUGGCCCAUGGGUUGAAGGAGACAGUUUGUGUUCUGGAGUAGAAAUAGUACUUUGAUGUUUUCAGAAAGCUCACCAAUGGUGGAAGGAUGGCUUGGUGCAUUAUCCAGGA